rnacentral:rRNA from 1 species
GUGGGGAAUAUUCCGCAAUGGACGAAAGUCUGACGGAGCAACGCCGCGUGAGUGAUGAAGGUUUUCGGACUGUAAAGCUCUGUUGUUUAGGACGAAAGUGCCUGUUGCAAAUAGUUACAGGUAUUGACGGUACUGAACGAGGAAGCCACGGCUAACUACGUGCCAGCAGCCGCGGUAAUACGUAGGUGGCAAGCGUUGUCCGGAAUUAUUGGGCGUAAAGAGCAUGUAGGCGGGAAUCUAAGACUGUUGUGAAAAUGCGGGGCUCAACCCCGUAUUGCGAUGGAAACUGGGUUUCUUGAGUGCAGGAAAGGAAAGGGGAAUUCCCAGUGUAGCGAUGAAAUGCGUAGAUAUUGGGAGGAACACCAGUGGCGAAGGCGCCUUUCUGGACUGUGUCUGACGCUGAGAUGCGAAAGCCAGGGUAGCGAACGGGAUUAGAUACCCGUGUAGUCC